UACGUAGGGCGCAAGCGUUGUCCGGAAUUAUUGGGCGUAAAGAGCUCGUAGGCGGUCUGUUACGUCCGCUGUGAAAACCCAGGGACUUAACCCUGGGCUUGCAGUGGAUACGGGUAGACUAGAGGCAGGUAGGGGAGAAUGGAAUUCCCGGUGUAGCGGUGAAAUGCGCAGAUAUCGGGAGGAACACCGGUGGCGAAGGCGGUUCUCUGGGCCUGACCUGACGCUGAGGAGCGAAGCGUGGGGAGCGAACAGGAUUAGAUACCGCCGUGAGUCGAGCCAAGUAC
rnacentral:rRNA from 1 species